AGCCCUUCUCGGAUUCAACCAUUCUUAAAAAUGGAAUAGAGAAUAAGUCAACAAAGAGCGGCAGCAAGAGAGCGACAGAGAAGACGAUGACAAAGGUU